ACUGCACGUAACAAAUGCGAUGCUUUGCACUGCAGCUAUAGGCAAAGCAUCUCGAUCGAAAUGAAUGUGCUUGCACCGAGCAGGUAGUAACGAGUUGAAGUGAAUUUUAUCGCAGAAACACACACAAUCAACUCAUCGUUUUGCACGUUGGCUCACAACCACACCCGAUGAAUAUGUCUACUUUUUGAGAGAGAACAUGAACAUAUACUUUUGCAAUCAUAUAUACCGGCCUAUGUAAAGCAGCCUGGGAAUAUUAAAGCAUGAGUUAGGAAACCUGCUGCACGAAUUCCUAUUCGUUAUAUCAGCUACUGCACAAGCACAAACAAAACGUUUGCUACAUCAGUCAAUCUAGAUACUUUAUUCAAGCCCCAUUAAAUGAAAUACUGCCAAAAAUUACCACCAAGCUAAAGUUUUGACACAUUCAGUGAAAUCCAAACCGAAACCAAACGUGGAAUGGCCAAUGCAAUGUAUCGCUUGGCAACACUGGUAAGCUUGCUGCGCCGGCAGCACAUGGACGGCAGCUGUCAGAUACCGAGGCCUGUUUUCGUGUGUAAUUUUCGUUCGUGCAUCCGUGUUAACGCAAUGUUUUCCGCGGUUUGUGUGUUAUUCGUGAACGCAAUCGGAACGAGUCCUCAUCAACGCAGUUUAACGCGACUGUAAGUAAAGGGAAGCAGCGGGCGCCUUCACCGGCGCGGCCCUCGGCGAUCGCUUUGUUUGUAUGUGUCGCGCGCACGGUUCAACUUUUGAAUACCGUGGCUGCGCGUUGUCGCAGUGCAGUGAUGAUUAUAUGCCAGUGCUCAUCGUGAAACUGCACAAACCGCGUCACUGCUGAUGGAGCUGCCACGUACGUGGACGGCGGCGCCCGAGAAGACCUUUUCUGAAGAGAAUGCGUGCCUGGCGAUUGUCACUUGCAGUCGCAACUUUUACAAAGUGGCAGCUGGCCUCCAUGGGGCGGUGCAGACAGGGGACUGUCAUUGCUGGAGCACCUCGUGGCUAUCCACAGGAAAUGGAAAAAACAUGCUGUUUUCACAACGCGGACGACACCGUGUCAAAGGAAGUUAUGGAAAAGAGACUGAAAGCAGUGCACUGGUACCCCUUGCAGCAAUUGGAUGUUAUAAAUGUGAUUUCCACAUCACACACAUACCAUGACCUGAAGUUUUGGAUGGAAUGGUGAGCAUAUUUAUGCAGUGAGCCAUCUUAAGUGCCGACUGGCAUACUCUAGUGUUCAAGGGCACUGAAUAUAUUCUAAUUAAGACUGCAAGACUGUAAUACAAUCACAGUCAGAAUUCAUCAAUUCAAUAAACAAUACACAUUUGAACAGUGGUCUCCGGUACAAUGGCAUACCGACAAACAGUAGAAUAGGUAGUAGACAGGUAGUAGACUUGUAGGCUUGUAGACCUGUAAACUUGUAUGCCGAUUGGCUAGUAGACCAUCAAGGUCUGAAAUUAGGGUUAGCCAACAGACAUGUAAGCUGAUAGCUGGUUGGAAUUUUUUACUGGAGAUAUUCAUAUAAAAUUCCAGACCCGCCGUAGUGGCUAAGGCGUACGUACGUUGCUCUACUGAACUGAAAGCUCAGGAUUGAAUCCCGGGCGCGGUGGCAUUUAGAUGGAAGUGAAAUGCACUAGAUGCCUGUGUGCCAUAUGCAUUGGGUGCACAUUAAAAACCACAGGGAGUUAAAAUAAUUCGGAAUGCCUCGAUCACCAGCGUGUGCCUCAUCAUAAAGUUGUGGUUUUGGCAUGUAAAAACCCAGAUUUUAAUUUAUUGAAUUUCCAAAUAUGACCAUAUACAGGAUGUUUCAGCGAACUCUUUCAAAAAUUCUUAAAGGUUGCUUGUGGCAGGUAGCACAAUUCUAGUUCAUGAGCUGGUCUACUCGAAGAGGCGGACGUUACUUCCACAAGAAAUUGAAAUGCAUAAUCGAAUAUUUAACAGAAAUUUACUAAUUAAGUUUUUAACUAAUUACCUGAUGGCUCAUAUUGCAAUUUACAAAUUGUAGCCUUGGAGUUCGCCAGGCGGAUCCACUUGGAACAAAUUCUUGGGAUGACAUUACUUUCGAGAUAUAAAUUCCCGAAC